CGCACGGGUGCGUAACGCGCUAUGCAACCCUACCCUUUCACAGGGGGGAUAGCCCGAAGAAAUUUGGAUUAAUACCCCAUAAUAUUGUUGGAUGGCAUCAUCUGGCAAUUAAAACUGCGGUGGUGAAAGAUGGGCAUGCGUCCUAUUAGCUAGUUGGAGUGGUAACGGCACCCCAAGGCUACGAUAGGUAGGGGUCCUGAGAGGGAGAUCCCCUACACUGGUACUGAGACAGGGACCAGACUCCUACGGGAGGCAGCAGUGAGGAAUAUUGGUCAAUGGUCGGAAGACUGAACCAGCCAUGCCGCGUGCAGGAAGAAUGCCUUAUGGGUUGUAAACUGCUUUUAUAUGGGAAGAAUAAGGUGUACGUGUACAUUGAUGACGGUACCAUAUGAAUAAGCAUCGGCUAACUCCGUGCCAGCAGCCGCGGUAAUACGGAGGAUGCGAGCGUUAUUCGGAAUCAUUGGGUUUAAAGGGUCUGUAAGCGGGCUAUUAAGUCAGGGGUGAAAGGUUUCA
rnacentral:rRNA from 1 species